rnacentral:misc_RNA from 1 species
GAUGAAGAACGCAGCGAAAUGCGAUAAGUAAUGUGAAUUGCAGAAUUCAGUGAAUCAUCGAAUCUUUGAACGCAACUUGCGCUCUCUGGUAUUCCGGAGAGCAUGCCUGUUUGAGUAUCAUGAAAUCUCAACCAUUAGGGUUUCUUAAUGGCUUGGAUUUGGGCGCUGCCACUUGCCUGGCUCGCCUUAAAGGAGUUAGCGUAUUAACUUGUCGAUCUGGCGUAAUAAGUUUCGCUGGUGUAGACUUGAGAAGUGCGCUUCUAAUCGUCUUCGGACAAUUCUUGAACUCUGGUCUCAAAUCAGGUAGGACUACCCGCUGAACUUAAGCGUAUCAAUAAGCGGAGGA